UACGGAGGAUGCAAGCGUUAUCCGGAAUUAUUGGGCGUAAAGCGUCCGCAGGUGGUUUUACAAGUCUGCUGUGAAAGCGCGGAGCUUAACUUCGUAUCGGCAGUGGAAACUGUGGAACUAGAGUUCGGUAGGGGUCACGGGAAUUCCCAGUGUAGCGGUGAAAUGCGUAGAUAUUGGGAAGAACACCAGCGGCGAAAGCGCGUGACUGGGCCUGAACUGACACUCAUGGACGAAAGCUAGGGGAGCGAAAGGG
rnacentral:rRNA from 1 species